ACACACACACUCUCUCUCUCACACACACACACACACACACACACACACACUCACGCUCACACUCACACAGACACACACACACACAAUCUCACACACGCACACGUUAACCAUCUCUGUUCCUGUGGUGUGUAGUUGAGUGUGGACUCUCAGCUGGAGGCUGUGAAUCAUGACGGUGGUUCUGCUGUGGUUCUGAAGGCUCAGAGCGGCUCGUAUCAGGGUCAGCCGGCGUCGAUGGAGUUGCUGGACUCCUCGGAACAACAGAUGAUCAACCAGAACCAGAGCCAGAGCUACACAGAUGGGCGGCACCCCGUGCCCAACAUCAUCCUGACCGGAGAUUCCUCAGGACUGUCUAAGGAGAUCACGAGCGCGCUGUCGUGUGUCCCGGGCUUCGAGAUGGACCCGUUCUCGUCUGACAACCCGCUGGCGCUGGGGGGUCUGGGCAUGCUGACAGACGGUGACCUGAUGCUGGCUGACCCCGCCGUGGAGGACUCCUUCCGCUCUGACCACCUCAAGUGACUCGAGAACACACGCUUGAACCCUGAGCUUCUGCCCUUUAACGCUGCGCUUCUCAGACGAUCAAAGCCGCACCGGCCACUUCCUGUUACAGAUGACCAAUCACAGCCACGUGCCUCCACCGAUCGCUGCUCAGGCGCUUCAGUCCCAGCAUGCACUGCACCACACCAGGUUAAUGCUGAACCCACUUGUGCGCUUAAAAGUCGCUGUUUCGUUCAGAUGUGACGAGUGAGACACUUCAUUUGAUCUGUUUGAUGUCUCAGCCAAUCACUUGAGUUUGGGGUGGGGCUAUCGGUCUGACUGACCAAUGACAGACAGCCGUGUUCAGAACAGCAUACUAUCAUACUGCAGUAUACAGCACACAUACUGUACUGCAUGCGUGCAAAACAAAAUGCAUUGUGCUUGACUUUCUCCUGACAAUGCAAAAUAAAUUUAGAUUUGUAUUUCCGUGCAAUGAUGCACACUAUCAGUUGAAACACUUAUUGUGGAAUAAUUGACCUAGAUUUUUAAUGUAAUUAUAUUUAUAUUUUUAAUAUAUGUUACUAUGAAAAAGUAAUUAAUCUUCAACAGUGUAAUUACUCUAAAAAAAAUAUAUAUAAUAAAAUUGCAUAAAUUAUUAAUGAACUGUACAAAGUAUUUUAAGGGGAGAAGGUUACAUUAAAAACAAACAUUUUAACAAUUAAA
rnacentral:lncRNA from 1 species